UAAGUUCUGUGUUAUUGGGCAAGUAGAAUGCAAACAGUAUCCAGUAAGACAUUGUAGCAGAGGUUAUGAAGAGUUGAAGGUGAUUGUUAAAGUUCUGAUGGAAUUUAACGGGAGAGUGAUGUAAUGGAAUGUAUUUGCAAAGAUCAUUGUAGCAGCAGAAUUCUGAUAAGAUGGAGGAAAGAAAAGCCAGAGUGAAGCAGACCAUUAGCAGAUAAUUGUCAUAAUCUUGAUACUAAAUGGAGACCAGAAUUAAGGUUUAGGAAGCUUCAGCCUGUAAAUGGCAGUUGAAGCCAUACUUAUUGCUGAAAUUGCAUACAGUCAGAACACUGAAUACAGAAACUUGAAGAACAACAUCAUUUCAGUCAGGAGUACCAAAAAGAGCUUUUAAGAAAACGGAAGCAGAAAAUGGCAUAGAAGAAGCUGAACCUAAAAUAUUCAGUGAGUAAUAGUCUCCUGUGCUUUGAAGGGCACCAGCAGUGUAAGGAAGGCUAUUUGUAAGGGAUUUGGCAUUGUGCCUGUCAGUGACUUCAGUGAGUGACAGCAGGGUCAGUGGAGUGACAGGUAGUGAGGGCUUGUAGAUAAACCAGGUGAAGUCAGAAGGCAAAGGAUCCUUUGAUGUAGUCCAUUCAGAGCAGAAGGAGAAGAAUGCAGAGUGGAUCUGCAGGGACAAAUAGAAGAUGCAGCGCAAUGGAGAUACUGUUUAAUGCCGCAGGGGACCUGGGCUCUUUUCGUCUCUCCUAUGUAAAGAGAAUUUCCUCCAUCCAAGUAAAACUGAUGCGAUCGGUCAGCUUUCUAGACAACA
rnacentral:lncRNA from 1 species